rnacentral:lncRNA from 1 species
ACAGUACCACCCCGCCCCAUCACGUGAUAAUAGAACCUGAGUACAGUAGAUAGAACAGGAAAAUACCAAGGGCACGCCCCUUCUGUGAUGCAAACCACACUGGUCCUUGUAGUCUGAUAGCAGGAGCAAGAGGAACAAUAACAUACUCUCCUAUGACAAGUCAAGGAGGGAACAAACAGUAAAGCCAGCAGGCAUCAAGGGAGCAGGCAGUCUCCUCAAUGCCCAGAGUGGCACUAGUAACCACCCCAGGAUAGAACCCAAGGACAAGCAACGGAGCACCUUGGGCUGGACUCUUAAGUUGGGAGACUUUGGAGCCACAGUCUAGCCUCGCUCUCAAGAGGAAGACCAGCUAGGGGUCAAGGGAAGACCCCCAGGGUGACAAGCUCCGAUUGUAGUCGGCAGAUGGCCUUUGAUUGGCUGGAUACCAUCAGUGUUCCUUCUGGCUUUCCCAACACAAACAGAAGAGGCGUGAGUCAGCGCAGGCAGCUGCCCCGAGCCUCUUAGGACUUUGUUUCCUCUUCAGCGGAAAAAGAAAAACAAGGUAUUAUAUUUGGACGUGGACACCUGGAUAGUAUUGCCAAGUACAGCCAUGGAAGAAGAGGCGAGCACACAUGCUGUUCUGCUCGACUAUGCUAUUUCUUCUGCCCUUGAAGUCAGCCUUCAGCUGACGCAUCCUUCUACAUAAGACAAGCUAAAGGAGAGAAUACACCACAGUCAAGGGCCUGGCUGUGAAGAUUUGGUGGCGUGUCCUUCGAGACACUGAGUCAACAGGCAUAAACAUUAACCUGUGUGUGUCUCUGCGAUCACCACAGUGUAUGAAGGUAGCGUCCUAGGUUUGACCUCGGCUCUGCACCAAACAGCCAGGUGGCCAUGUUUCCUAACUUGCAAAAGCAAGCUUGCACCUGGAAGGGCACGCGCUCUAUUGCUAGUCUGUAAUUGCAGGAUUAAAAAAAAUUGAAAAUAUGUAACCA